AUAGGGGAGAGAAAGUAGAAAAUUUAACUAAUAGGAGUUCAAAAGAAAGAGGCCAUCGAAGACAGAUGGGAGUGAAUUAUCAAAGAAAAAAUAAGAACCAGUUACAAGAGAUUGAAAAACCCUGCCCAAAUCCCAGACAUAAGCAGCACACAUGCCUUUUAAUUAUCUACACAUUGCCAUCUUUAAGUGUUUAAUUUGCAACAGAUUAAAAAAAAUCCCUUGGUCUUUUCCCACUUAAGUAUGAAACUGUCUGGAAAUGUGAAGCUGGGGGCUAGGGAAAGGAUGUUGUUCUUCACCUAUUGACCUCAUCUAUAGCAAACAUUUCCUAGUCUCCUUCUCACUUAUCAUGUCUUUAUCCCUACACUCACUGGAACUAGUCCAAUUCUAUCUGAAGAACUUUGCCUCCUGUAGUCAUAUCAAUCAAUCAAUCAAUCAAUCAAUGUUCCAGACCAUACAUAGCAUAGACCAUAAAUAGGAGUGAAAAAAAAAUAGGAGUGAACAUUUAUGGUCUAUGUAUGAUUUUUCUUUCCUUCUUUGUUUUGGUUUCAUAGCUCUCUAACAAUGAAGAAGGUGACUGGUUUUUAACCUUACAAGCAAAUAACAUUCAUGUGUUUUUUCCCUAGUUAUGCAGGAGGGCACAAAGCAGAGGGAAUUGAGCAGGCUUAUGUAUCUUGUUCAGGAUAGAUGGGUUGCUGCUAUGCUGAGUAUUUAGAAUCAACCAUAACCGUGCUAUAAACUUUUUACAAUAUAAUUUGUCAGAUUCAGCCAAUAUUAGUUGACUAUAAAAAUCGCAAACAAUUUUAGAAAUGCCUCUAGCAUCACUUUAUAUAUAGUAAACUGCCAAUAAAGUUUAACAAAAUGGUCUGAGGAAUGGCAGGUCGAUAGAGGGUUUAGUUAAUGAAAUCUUAUCUAACAAGCUAUUUGCCUUACAAAAACUCAAACCUAUUGCCACUGGAACUUUUUAAUUCAUUUAGUCAUUGAAUCUCACCUAAUAAUAGACAAACUCCAAUUUGAAAAAAAACCUGACUCAAUUAUGGCAAUUUUUCUAGAAAAAGAAAUAGAAAUCAAUUGCUUAAUGACAUCUUACAUGACUAAUAUGUAAUAAAACUUGACUAAUAUUGCAGACCCAUUUCCUUGAACUUAAAGUCAAUCAUUUUUGCAUCUUUUGACUCUAUCAAUAGAUCAUUAAUAACUCCUGAUGUGCACACUUGUCCUUUAUUAUUAAAGACCAAUAAAGGCAGCCAAAAUGGUAUUUUUUUGGCCUUUUUAGUCAGACUAUAAUUGUACUUUUCACCUGACUUUUCAAAUGGAAAUAAUCAGCAUUAUCUAAUAAUGUCAUAAAAUAGCUCACACGGAGAUGCUUCUCAGGACAAACAGCCCCUGCCAAUAACCAUUUCACUCACAUAUUUGAGGGCUGGCUACCUGAAAUAUACUGUUAUUUUUACUAUUUUUUGUUUCCC
rnacentral:lncRNA from 1 species